UACAGAGGUCCCAAGCGUUGUUCGGAUUUACUGGGCGUAAAGGGUGCGUAGGUGGCGAGGUAAGUUCGAUGUGAAAUCUCCGAGCUCAACUCGGAAAUGGCAUUGAAUACUAUCCCGCUUGAGGGUCGGAGGGGAGACUGGAAUUCCUGGUGUAGCAGUGAAAUGCGUAGAGAUCGUGAGGAAGACCCGUGGCGAAGGCGGAUCUCUGGACGGCUAACUGACGCUGAGGCGCGAAGGCCAGGGGAGCAAACGGG
rnacentral:rRNA from 1 species